rnacentral:rRNA from 1 species
UACAGAGGGUGCAAGCGUUGUUCGGAAUUAUUGGGCGUAAAGCGCGUGUAGGCGGCUUUGUAAGUUGGGUGUGAAAGCCCUCGGCUUAACCGAGGAAGUGCGCCCAAAACUGCAUGGCUUGAGUACCGGAGAGGGUGGCGGAAUUCCAGGUGUAGCGGUGAAAUGCGUAGAUAUCUGGAGGAACACCGGUGGCGAAGGCGGCAUCCUGGACCGGUAUUGACGCUGAGGCGCGAAAGCCAGGGGAGCAAACGGG